rnacentral:lncRNA from 10 species
GGAACCUACAACAAAAUAGUUUUAAAAAGCUCAUCCAGGAAAUGCCUAUUAGAGCUGAUCACUUUGCUUUGACCCUCCCAUAGGUGCUAGACCUCCAGAGAGAGAAAAUGAGACACAUAAGGUGGAAAUUACUCUGUGGUGACACACUGUGGAGUCCUGCCCACAACCCGGAUACUUGGACCCACUCCACUGAAACCUUAGGCCACAGCUAAGUUCCUUCCUUCAAAAAAUAAAUCUAAGAAAGAGGAAAAACAGGAAUGACCUCCUUUCAGGCACUCUGUUGGUUUUAUGGCGCCUCUUCUUGCGAAUGUUUGUGUAAAAUUGACAUACUGUGGUCCUUUUCUGCACAAUUACGGCAAGGAAAAUUCAGAUCGCAAAGGUCCACCUGUGAGUAUAAAGUUCCUAAGUUCUCUGUGUAUGGCUCUGCUUUCUUUUUUGCCUGCAUUAAGUCUGCUGUUACAUUUCUACUGAGAUAAAAUCCACCAUUUGCAUCCAUCCAUUUCAUUUUGUUAUUGUUUUUGUAAACCAAUGAGUUUGUAUUAAUAUCUCAUGACUAGAGUUCUGAAGUAAAAGCUAUAGGAUUUUUGGUUGUGUGGCAGGGCAGGUCUCACAGCUGAACAGGGAGGCCUCCUUAACAACUGUUUCAGCACUGACUGGUUAAAUAUUAAAAGCUGAAAGAGCCAGUGCCCUUAUACAAAGGCUGGGAUUUAACAAAAGCCCACCAAGAAUUUUGCCUAUGUCCUCCUGGGCCUUGAAGCAUGACAAGAUAAAGGAAUUCUUAACAGGACCCCUUUGGGAUUAAACAAGUUUUUAUUGGAGGUCUGGUUCAUCUGCAUCUCAUUACCGGGUAGCAGGAAUAAGUAGGCUGACCCUCAGUUUGGACCGGGAACAGCUGUGUAAGUGUGUAUGUGUGUGUUUAUAUGUAUGUACACGUAUUUUGUUGUGUUUUGGGCCACAAGGUACCACACUGGCUUAACAAGUACUCAUAAAUUAAUUAGCCCAAAUGCUUUUCAUCUUUAUAUGACUUAAGUAAAAUCUGUCAUAUGCUUGCUUAAAAAUUAUUGGUAAACUAAUAACAGAAAUUUCUUAAAAAUUG